rnacentral:rRNA from 1 species
AGAUUGAACGCUGGCGGCAUGCCUUACACAUGCAAGUCGAACGGCAGCACGGGGGCAACCCUGGUGGCGAGUGGCGAACGGGUGAGUAAUGCAUCGGAACGUGCCCAGUAGUGGGGGAUAACUAGUCGAAAGAUUAGCUAAUACCGCAUACGACCUAUGGGUGAAAGCGGGGGAUUCGCAAGAACCUCGCGCUAUCGGAGCGC